GAUGAAGAACGUAGCGAAAUGCGAUAAGUAAUGCGAAUUGCAGAAUUCAGUGAAUCAUCGAAUCUUUGAACGCACAUUGCGCCCGCUAGUAUUCUGGCGGGCAUGCCUGUCUGAGCGUCAUUUCAACCCUCGCCCCCGGCUUAUGCUGGGAGCGGUGUUGGGGAUCGGCCGCCCGUCACUGGGAGGCCGGCCCCGAAAUAGAGUGGCGACCACGCCGUGUGCUCCUCUGCGUAGUAGUAAAUCACCUCGCAGGCGGACAGCGGUGCGGCCUGCCGUAAAACCCCCAACUCUUUCUGGUUGACCUCAGAUCAGGUAGGAAUACCCGCUGAACUUAAGCAUAUCAAUAAGCGGAGGA
rnacentral:misc_RNA from 1 species